GGGGAGCUCAGGUGCAUGCAAUGUACCUGAGUGAUUGGAAGGGAUGGAGCCAGGAUCUACCCCUUCCCAGACCUCAGUUAAGGGUUGGCAGUCGAUGCAAGGGUAUUUUCUUGAAAAUCCCUGUGUACCUGAGGCUUUUUUGCAGGAAAGAUUCACUGAAGUAUCUGCCUAGUGUUUAACACCAGCCAUUCCCCAUUGUCCUAUCACUAGCAGAUCGUGGAAGAAGUUGAUCCCCUUCCUGAGUGAUCUUCAACUUGUGGUGUGGAGUGUCAAAGAAUGUGAGAAUUCCUUGUAGUUGGCUUGCAGUACCAAUGCACGCUUGUUCAGUGGGAUGUGAACCAGAGUGUCUCUUUCUCCAAAAAGUCUGCUGUAAAGAAAAGUGACAAGUAAGCAAUCCUUGGUAUGCUUCUUCAGUAAAGAGAAGAAACACAGGAGAUAAUGUGCUCCCACAGCACUUCUUUAAGGAGCGCGUCAAAGUCUUUUCAAAUAAGCUGGGCAGUCAUGAGAAGGAAGGUCUUCGCAUGAAUAAAACCGCUGACUAGAAGUCAAUUCUCUCUCUGAAGAGAGAUAUUCAUCAGAAUCUUUCACGUUAAAUCACAGGGCUUCAUCCCCUUGAGGACCCUUGCAAUUGUCUCUCAUAGCAUGAAUGGCUACCUAGAGAAAUCAGAUGUCAUUUAUGAGAGAAUAAUCUCCGAUUCACAUCAUUGCUGUAGAAGUUCUUUUGUUUCUGGAUGUAAGGGGGGAUGAUCUGGUAAAGCAAGUUAGACAAAUGAUUUGGUCUCCAUAGCUCCAUUUACCUCCCAUUCAGAAAAGCCAGAUAUCCCUCCUGAAGCAUUGGUGCGAUGGCUGCUGAGGAUGGAGACAGGCAUCUCAUCAAGCAUGUGUUGCUAACACAGUAUACUUGUUCCUGGAUAACCUAGCUGUGCUUUGCAUAAGCCACGUGCAGCACAUGGUACUUGUCUGGCAGUGGACAACGGGGACCUCAGCUAACGUGUGCCGCCCUGACCCAUGGUGCAACCACUUGGUUUCCCUGAUUUUCCAGCGUGUCUUCUUCUGGGUUGUUGAUCAACUUUUCUGGAAACCGUGAUGAAUCUGCUCACCAGUUCAGACAAUGCACCCUUUUAUUUCCCCUGAUUCAGACAGCAACAGGAAGGCAGGAAGGCAGGAAAACAGGUUGCCACAUGGGGCUUGGAAGAACUGACUGUCUUGCUAGGGUGCGGCUGGAUAUCAGACCUCAGGUUGCUCUCUAAGACAAAACAGUGUUACCUGCUCAUCACACAUUGCAUGGUUGACCUCUUACCACAGUGAGGACACCUCUUGCCAGAAAUGGAACCAGAAGAAUCUCGUUACAAAAUAAGAAAUCUGUCUAGAGCGUAGCAAAUGACUCACUGCACUUAAGAUGCUUUGGCUCUCAGCUCUGAGGAGGCUGAGCUCUUCUGCGGAGAAGUGAUAAGUAAAUGUUGGCCAUUAUUGAUAGCCAGUCAUGGUGAGGUCGUCACGGAUCCAUUCUGUUCAGAUAAGUUAUGCUGCUUUGUUGUCACAUUGUGACCUACGGGUGAGCACAAAGUAGCAGCUGUGACCCUAUCAAUUAGAUGGAGGUAGAGCUGCUGGGGGGAUCAGAUGGAAGGAUUAAGAAACCCCGUGGAGAAAGCCAGCAAUUAUCCAUGAGUGUCACAAAGACAGAGGUGAUCAGAGUGUCAGCUCACCCAGACCCUCCUCCCCCUGCACUUUCUGUGUGAAAAAGAAUUGGAGCAGAUCUCAUUAGUAAUAGACUGGAGAAAUGUUUGCUGGUUUAAGUGUGGAAAAAAGUGAGCUGAGAAAGAAAGUUAGAAAAAAAAAAGGACCAGUACUCUUGAAGUAAGAGCUAACAGUAAUUUCUGUCCAAAAAUAUUUCUCAUCAGCAAUGUGCAUAGAAGAGUAAGGUUGUGUUUUGAACACAGGUAUGAAGAUCAGUGCCGUUGACCAACCUCUGCUCUCACUUCCCUGAAACUUACACAAGAAGCUUGUGAUAGAAUAGUAAAUCAUGAUUCCAUGAGGUAAACAGAGGAGUGAUUUUUACUCUAGUCUUGACGACUACGGGAAGAACUGACAGGAGAAAAAAACACUGAAUUUGUCGAACAGAGGCUUAGUGUCUCUCCUGCAUCUUGCACCAAAUCGCAAUUUACCGCUAUUUGAUUUAACUGGAUUGAGACGGGCGUAGGGAUGUUUCAGUUAAUUUAGGUUUUGUUUGUUUGUUUUAGUAACAACGGAAAAGUCAUGGCGAUCUAACCUGCUGAGGUCUGGAAUUUUUUUCCUCCUCGGAGUAUAAUGCUACACCAUCGCUAAGAUGUUGUUUGAAGGUUCUUCAUCUGUUUCUUUGACUGCUGUUUCUUGACAGAGAUGCAAUUAUGAAGUUAAUGGAGUAGUCAAGUGCUACACGUUGAAAGUACCCAAGAACCUGCAAACAAAUGCUGUCUGCCUAAGCAAUCUGCAUUAUGUGAACAGCUGUGGUUCCUGUGGAAUAUAUGAUAAAGUCUUCUUUUAUUCUAGUUAUAAAAGUGAAUGAUUGCAGUCCAUCCCGGAAUGCUGAUGAGACACCCUUCUGACUGAUGGAGCAGGCAAGGGAGAACUGGCUCUGCUCCAUCUACAAAUUUUUGAUUUCUGGUUGCUCUACUCAUUUUUAAUUUUUUUUUUUUUUUUUUUUUUUUCUUGCAUCUAAAUUUUGGGUAGAAGCAGAACUGUUGCUGAAGUAUAUCAGCCUCAAAGGUCUUGCUGCCAAAUUAUACCUCUGCCAAGGAAAUAUUUAUUUUAUGUUUUUUGGCAGGGGGGAGGUGGAGAGUGGAGAGUUGUUUGGUUUUUUUUUUAGCAUUUGGGAGUAAGAGAAGAAAAACGUGGAAGACUCAGGAAAAGCUCAAAACAACUAAGAGAACUACUACACCAAUGUUAUCCUGUCUAGUUGCAUUUCUUGAACUUAACUGUAGCAAAAUGUAUUUUGCAGCCUAACAUGAUGUGUUCUGUACACCUGCCUUCUGCUGAGCUGAGCUCUCAGAUGAAGAGUUCAAUAUUAGAGUUGCCAGAAGAAGCAACCGUUCUGAGCGUUGAGGAAAAGCCUAUCUCCCUGAAGUCACCUAGCACUGAUUUCACACUCUGGCUAUCCUGUAUUGGCUGUAAUGGGGGAAAAAAUUAAUUUUUUCAAGUUUUUUUUUUUUUUUUUUGUGCAAGACAGAUGAGCUUGAUGCAGAUACAUCUCAAAGUUGGAGUGUACGAUGCCUCUUGAUCAACUUCUGAGCCAGCCUUUCUGCCUGGAUCUUUACAGUCUAUCUCUGUCCAGGGAAUACAACAACAAAACUUUGCCAUGAGAGAGCCUACAAGCUGGGAAGGUACCUCGCACGGAAGCAGCUGCCCUGAGGAGCACUCAUGAGAACGCCUGCCCUGGGCAUGGUAGGACUGCAAGAUCUGAGAUAAGGCUUCAACACCGUUGCUAACUGGAGAAAUACUCUUUCCAACAGCUGCUCAAUCCAGAUUUCAGCAUCCAUUCCAGCUACUGAUAAUUUUAUCCUCAGUAUAGCUUUAAUUAACUGUGUUGUACACCAUAGUAGAUCUACCUUGUUAAACUGCUGCUCUAUGUUUCAGUGGAAAUGCUAAAAGAGACAGAUAAAAUAAUUUUGUUACGUGGUUACGAGACUCUCAAUUUGUUAAAUUUGCCAGCUGCUGUGGGAGCCUAUGGGAUGGAAGGUAUCAUAUAAAUACAAAAAAGUGUUAUUAUUUACCUGAAUGACUCUAUUCUCUCCCCCUAUCCGCCCUAACCCCCUUUUUUAAAAUAUACUUAUUUUUUAUAUUUCUUUCCUGCAUUUUGUUCUCUAUUUGGAUGGUUUCUUCAAGUCCCCAGCUGGAACUACAAUCAUAAGUUCUCUAAACUCAGGUAUCAACAGCCCUCACAUUUUUCUGACCUUCGUUAGGCAGUUAUUUACCUGACCUGUUUUGCUUGUUAUUCAAUCUUUCUGUCUUCUGCAACUAAUUCCAAGGCAAUUUGAACUUCAAAUGUUUUUCACUCAAGCUGAGUUUAAGCAUGUACAUUUGGAUCACUGUGCUUAGGGAGUCCAGUUUGUCUUCUUGCACUCAACAGAUACACUGUUUUUCUCCAUGUCCAAGGAUUAAUUACAAACAGCUGAAAUAGAAAUUCCUGAAGAAGGACUAAUCCUGAUGCGGAUGCAUGGAAGAGAGAUAUGAGGCAGCAGUCCAGUAAACCUCCAGCUUGAAGCUUAGUUGCAUUUAAAUGCCAUAAUUCCUGGAGCCAACUCAAACUAUCAAUCAGAAUCCUGUCAGUCUAAACAAGUCUGAAGCUUGAAAAUUUUGCUUUCUUUGGCAUUUAAUUUUCCCUUGGAAUCCAAAUCUCAGCUUUAGUUAGGUUUUCUCAUGCAAAAAGGGUUACAUUCAUGUCCAGCUUUGAGAUGUAUUGUGGUAGUGUUCUGAUCUCUGAGAAGUUUGAGCUCCAGCUUGUAGACGUAAGAAUGAGCAGAGCCAGCCAUUCUCAGAAGGGUCACUAGAACCAUUUCACAUGUCUCUCAUCAGUUCACAAAGCAUCACUUCCUUAUUUCUUUAAGUAAGGACAAAGGAAAUCCAGCUGUGGAUGUUAGAGGGCUUAUCAUUUCUUUUUAAAAGAUAUUGAAAAAAUAUUAGUGGUAAAAUAUACCAUUGUUAAGUAACUAUGGAUCUAAGAUUCCUGAACUUCAAAGACACUGUAUAGUACUUAUGAAACUAUGUAGUUUUUCAUCUGAAAGCCAGUGCUUCGGGCAAAGGUUGCAAGGUUAGCGAAAAAAAAAUCAUAAUUGAUCAAAUAUCCACAAUAGAACAUAACAACGUAAUUGUAAAGGCAAAAAAGUUUAUCAAAUGGGUCACAUCAACAAGGUAAUAGAGAUAUCUAAUGGACAAAGAAGGAACAAAAACAGAUGCGUAGCUGUUAAGGUCUCUAAAAUACGUGCCAUGUGGUUGAUUUGAGUGCGGAGUAUACAAAGCAGUGUCAAGAUCGAUAGUUUGCUUUCAAACUGGUUCAUGACCAGUAGAUGACAGAGAGUAAGUCAAUAAGUGAACUUGAAAAAUUAAGCAUCAAGAUGCCAAGAGCAAGAACAAGACAGCAGCUAAUAAUGAUCUCUUGUUUUUACUGGGUAUCUUAAAAGGAGGGAGUGGAACUCACCAAGCCAAAUAGUUAAAUGGGAAUAUGGUACUUCAACAAGUAAUGGGAACAAACGAUGAAAUCAAUAAUCAAUAUAUAGCGCUAAUGUCCAGAAAUUUACAUAAGACAAUCAAACCAUAUUUUUGUCUUUUAUGUUACAAUGUAUAAUUCUAUAUUAUAUAGGCACAUAAGCGUGUGUGUGUGUCCCUCCAAUGAAGUUCAUUCUUUCUGUUUUGACACAAUGUUCAUUUCAUUGUAACAUAUUAAUCACGCCUUCAGGAUAAUAAAUGCCUAAGUAAAAUUUAUUUUGAAAUCUCAGCUUCCAAUUUAGGAAGUUCUUCUGCAAUCUUUAACAUUUCUAGAUUGUCUGUAGGUAUACAUUGUCACACUUGAAGAUUUUAUGUCUGUAGAUGAAUUUCCAUCAUCUUCAAAACAAUUAGUAAAAGAACAAAUGGUGGUUGUUACUGAACUACA